rnacentral:rRNA from 1 species
AGGUUACUGCUAUCGGUGUUCGCCUAAGCCAUGCGAGUCAUAUGUAGCAAUACAUGGCGUACUGCUCAGUAACACGUGGAUAACCUGCCCUUGGUUCCGGCAUAACCCCGGGAAACUGGGGAAUAAUUCCGGAUAACGCAUAUAUGCUGGAAUGCUUUCUGCGUAAAAUGGAUUCGUCUGCCCAAGGAUGGGUCUGCGGCCUAUCAGGUAGUAGUGGGUGUAAUGUACCUACUAGCCUACGACGGGUACGGGUUGUGAGAGCAAGAGCCCGGAGAUGGAUUCUGAGACAUGAAUCCAGGCCCUACGGGGCGCAGCAGGCGCGAAAACUUUACAAUGCGGGAAACCGUGAUAAGGGGACACCGAGUGCCAGCAUCCUAUGCUGGCUGUCCGGGUGUGUAAAAUACACCUGUCAGCAAGGGCCGGGCAAGACCGGUGCCAGCCGCCGCGGUAACACCGGCGGCCCGAGUGGUGAUCGUGAUUAUUGGGUCUAAAGGGUCCGUAGCCGGUUUGGUCAGUCCUCCGGGAAAUCUGACAGCUCAACUGUUAGGCUUUCGGAGGAUACUGCCAGACUUGGAACCGGGAGAGGUAAGAGGUACUACAGGGGUAGGAGUGAAAUCUUGUAAUCCCUGUGGGACCACCUGUGGCGAAGGCGUCUUACCAGAACGGGUUCGACGGUGAGGGACGAAAGCUGGGGGCACGAACCGGAUUAGAUACCCGGGUUAGUCCCGGCCGUAAACGAUGCUCGCUAGGUGUCAGGCGUGGCGCGACCGUGUCUGGUGCCGCAGGGAAGCCGUGAAGCGAGCCACCUGGGAAAGUACGGCCGCAAGGCUAAAACUUAA